GACGAACGCUGGCGGCGUGCUUAACACAUGCAAGUCGAACGAAGGGCGAUGGAAGCUUGCUUCUAUCAAUCUUAGUGGCGAACGGGUGAGUAACGCGUAAUCAACCUGCCCUUCAGAGGGGGACAACAGUUGGAAACGACUGCUAAUACCGCAUACGAUCUGACCUCGGCAUCGAGGAUAGAUGAAAGGUGGCCUCUAUUUAUAAGCUAUCACUGAAGGAGGGGAUUGCGUCUGAUUAGCUAGUUGGAGGGGUAACGGCCCACCAAGGCGAUGAUCAGUAGCCGGUCUGAGAGGAUGAACGGCCACAUUGGGACUGAGACACGGCCCAGACUCCUACGGGAGGCAGCAGUGGGGAAUCUUCCGCAAUGGACGAAAGUCUGACGGAGCAACGCCGCGUGAGUGAUGACGGCCUUCGGGUUGUAAAGCUCUGUUAAUCGGGACGAAAGGCCUUCUUGCGAAUAGUUAGAAGGAUUGACGGUACCGGAAUAGAAAGCCACGGCUAACUACGUG
rnacentral:rRNA from 1 species